AUGAAGAAGCAGAAUCGAGGGCGGCCUCCGAAAGUUACGGCACCACCAACACCGGUGAAUCAUCUUGCUCUGGAAUCUCAACCGGAGUCUUUAAGUGUGAAGUAUAACAAAGAAAGCUAUGGAGGUAAUAUUGAGAAUGAUGGAGAUCUGGAAAUCCCAAAGAAAACCCUAGAUGAAGGACUGGAAGAAGAACCUGAGGUCAAACCUAUGGAGUGA